rnacentral:rRNA from 1 species
AAGCUCGUAGUUUGUCUUCGCAUGAGGUGCCAUUUGCUUGGCUCGCUGACGCAGUUAAAUGCUGAUGUGAACCAAACCAAGCAUUGGCAAUCGCCGCAUGCGUGGACUGAACUCGAACUGUGGAAACAUCCUUUGUUGUGUUGCGGAAAUCGUCUUACGAAGAUCAUACGUGUAAUGUGAAGUGAAGAAUAUCGCCGUGAGAUAACCAGYGUGUUCAAGGCAUCCUAACCUUUUGGCAACCGGACGAAUGGUCAAGCAUGGUACGGUGCGGGAGCGAACCUCAACAGCAAGUGUUUGAUCGAUUUUGGACUGUGGAGGCAUAUCAGGGUGGUGUGUUCAGUGUGCCGUCAAACGUGUCAUACUGACCCUACCCUUCGGAACCAAGAGAGAUGAUUGUAGUUCUUGGUAUUAACCCCAGAGGAGUGAAACCCUGUGACGUCGAUACGACUCCCCGAUGCGAAGGCGUUGGGCAGGGAGCGCGGUUGUUGAUCAAGAACGUGAGUUUGGAGAUCGAAGAUGAUUAGAUACCGUCGUAGUCCAUACCGUAAACCGUGCGAACCAAUGUUCUGUGAGUCCGCUUGACGGAUCCAGUCCCUUGGGACGUACGCAAAACCAAUCUAUUCAUUGUGGCGCGAAAGCUGGAGUCUCCACACUCAGGGGGAAGUAUGGUCACAAGGCUGAAACUUAAAGAAAUUGACGGAAUGACACCACCAGGCGUGGGGUGUGCGGCUUAAUUUGACUCAACGCGGGGAAGUUUAUCAGGUCCGGAUGCUGGCUGGAUUGACAGUGUGAUGGUGCUUUCAUGAUUCAGCAAAUGGUGGUGCAUGGCCGUUCCUAGUUGGUGAGGUGACUUGUCUGCCUGAUUGCGAUAACGAACGAGAUCUUUGUGGCUUAAUAGAUUGUGGUCUCGUUUUAGGAGGCUUCUUCGYGUUGCCUCUGAGGGACCAUGCAACUGCUUUGCCGGGCUGCGUGCGAUAUCAAGUACGAUUAAAAGAGGCGAUAGCAGGUCUGUGAUGCUCCUCGACGUUCUGGGCUGCACGCGUACAACACUGAAACAGGAAGCGCGUUAGCCUUCAAUUGAAACCUGCUCUGAGGAGAGUGGGAAAUCGUAAAACUGAGUCGUGAUGGGGACAGCAUUAUUGCAAAUCUUACGCUCGAACGAGGAAUGCCUCGUAAAGGUCGCUCAUCAGACAGCCUUGAUUAUGUCCCUGCCAUUUGUACACACCGCCCGUCGUUGCUACCGAUGAUUUGAAUGUAGAGGCGGAGAGAAACUGGCUAUAACUUCGUGUUGAGUACUAUAUUGAAUUCCACCAAUACGUCCCCGUUAGAGGAAGCAAAAGUCGUAACAAGGUUGCUGUAGGUGAACCUGCAGAAGGAUC